UACGUAGGGCGCAAGCGUUGUCCGGAAUUAUUGGGCGUAAAGAGCUCGUAGGUGGUUUGUUGCGUCUGCCGUGAAAACCCGAGGCUUAACCUCGUGGCUUGCGGUGGAUACGGGCAGACUUGAGGUAGGUAGGGGAGAAUGGAAUUCCCGGUGUAGCGGUGAAAUGCGCAGAUAUCGGGAGGAACACCGGUGGCGAAGGCGGUUCUCUGGGCCUUACCUGACGCUGAGGAGCGAAAGCGUGGGGAGCGAACAGG
rnacentral:rRNA from 1 species